rnacentral:rRNA from 1 species
GACGGAGGGUGCAAGCGUUGUUCGGAUUGACUGGGCGUAAAGGGCGUGUAGGCGGUCGGCCAAGUCUGAUGUGAAAGCCCGAGGCUCAGCCUCGGAAGUGCGUCGGAAACUAGUCGGCUGGAGCGCGAUAGAGGAGGGUGGAAUUCCUGGUGUAGCGGUGAAAUGCGCAGAUAUCAGGAGGAACACCAAUGGCGAAGGCAGCUCGCUGGGACGGUACUGACGCUGAGACGCGAAAGCGUGGGGAGCAAACAGG